rnacentral:rRNA from 1 species
GAUGAACGCUGGCGGCGUGCCUAAUACAUGCCAGUCGAGCGAACAGAUGAGGAGCUUGCUCCUCUGACUUUAGCGGCGGACGGGUUAGUAACACGUGGAUAACCUACCUAUAAGACUGGGAUAACUUCGGGAAACCGGAGCUAAUACCGGAUAAUAUAUUGAACCGCAUGGUUCAAUAGUGAAAGACGGUUUUGCUGUCACUUAUAGAUGGAUCCGCGCCGCAUUAGCUAGUUGGUAAGGUAACGGCUUACCAAGGCAACGAUGCGUAGCCGACCUGAGAGGGUGAUCGGCCACACUGGAACUGAGACACGGUCCAGACUCCUACGGGAGGCAGCAGUAGGGAAUCUUCCGCAAUGGGCGAAAGCCUGACGGAGCAACGCCGCGUGAGUGAUGAAGGUCUUCGGAUCGUAAAACUCUGUUAUUAGGGAAGAACAAAUGUGUAAGUAACUAUGCACGUCUUGACGGUACCUAAUCAGAAAGCCACGGCUAACUACGUG